UCUGAGACUCAGCAGAUGAAAGGCAUUGUGGGACAGUCUUUAUCGUUUCCAGAGAGAGUGUUUAAAACUGGAUAUUUAAGGUAUGGAGAAGACACUACUGCAAGUGUGAUCAAUGGACAAAGCCAUGUAGAUUUAGAAGAGAGAUUUAAAAAUCGCGUUCACUGGGACAAACCUCACUCUUUACUAUGUUGUUUCCAAACCUCAGGUGACAGAGUGUGACAGCAGCUCCUGUAGUGUGGUGUGUUCUGUGGACAACAAAAAAGAGGUGACCUUGACCUUGUACAGGGGAGAGGAAAUACUAAACCAGACCAGCAGUCCUGACCUCACCACUGAUCUAUCUCUCCGUUUGGAGGUAGAGGGAAAGAACUACAACUCCACCUACAGCUGUGUGGCUGCUAACCCUGUCAGCAAGGAGACAGUUCUUGUCCCAAAAUGUUGCAGUGAAGAUGGUCAUCCCAAGGAGACAGACAGUGAUGGGAUGACUCGGGGUAUGCUUAUUAUUGCUGUAAUCUGCGUUUUGGUUGCCUCAGGGCUGGUUGGACUUGCAAUCAAUCUAAAGCAGAGGGGAAAUGAACACUCACAAGGCAGGAGGAGCGAAGAAGUAUACCAGAACUGGAGUCGCAUAGAGACAACCCUGAAAUGGCAUCAGUUUAUGAUACACUGCAGUUACAUCGCAUGGCUGACAGCAGGGAUGUUGACACAGCAUGAAGGAACAGAACUGGAAGUCACUGAGAAGCCAACAUGAUAACUCAUAAAGAGGACAUUUAACCAAAAUGAAAGUAAAAUAAUAAUCACCCAGAAAACCUUUUAGAGGCACAGUUGUUAUGGGAGAAAAAUCCCCUGGAACUGUUGCGCUGAUGUUAUAACUUCAGGCUUUCUUUGUAGGUCAUUCUCACAGACCUGUCAAAUAGAGGCCUCGCUGACAUCCACUGAUAAGGACCAAUUCAAUAACUAUUUAUUGAGUUAGUAGCAGGGUCAGGAUAAUCCUUCUUUUCAGCUGCCUUUUGUCCCAAAUCCCAAUGUAUAAGUUAAAACAAAUGGAACAUAUAUUUUAAUACUGGGCACAACUUUGGUUUUGGAAGUGGGAGGACAUAACUUUUUAUCCUGUCGGAUAAACACUCCAAACAACCUACCCGCCCACUCGGAGGCGUCCGUAUGGUCCUAAAGCACACCAUUGCCUCGUUUUGUAUCACAUUCCAAUGAUAAAACUGGGGGGACAAAAAUGAUAUUUCAGAAUGUGGGGGGGACAUGUGGCACCCUUGGUGUUUGCUAUGCUACUGCUGGCCAAAGCUUCUUUUCAGUUAUGACUGUUUUGUUGUUUAAAUGUAG
rnacentral:lncRNA from 1 species